rnacentral:tRNA from 1 species
AAUUAGAAAGCGAAAAUUGCACUUAGUUUCGACCUAAGUUUUGACCUAACCAAAAAGUCUCUAAUUU